UAUACGGGUAUACCGGGUUAUAUGGAAUAAUAUGGGUAUAGGGUAUAGGGAUCAGGCGUGAUUAGGGUAUUCGGAUAUAGGGUAUAGGGUAUAGGGUAUAGGGUAUAAUAGCUGGGGGGGCCUAUAGGGCACUUUAUAGGGCACCCCAUAUCCAGGGGGGUUUAUAGGGCACCCCAUAUCCAGGGGGGGGCUUAUAGGGGGCUUAUGGGGCACCCCAAUAUCCAGGGGGGCUUAUAUGGGCA
rnacentral:lncRNA from 1 species